GCUGGAAUCCUCGGAGACCCCUCGGGCGGGGCAACUGGAGCAAGGGAAAAUCGUAAUGAAUCCCUAGGGAGCCACUCGGAACAGCCUGGGUGGAUCUACUGGCUGGACUUGUAGGUACCACCAAGGUGACCCAACCUGAGAAACAACAUAUUUGGAGUGGAAAAUCCUCCUGGUUAACUGAGGUACCCACUGCUUUUCUUCUGGACAAGGACCCAGAAAAUGCUGGAAAAUUUUAGAACAGGUAAAGGUCUGGCUUCGAGAGGUUUCUUUAAAGGUAUUGGAUUAAUCAGCACACCAAGUUCAAGAGAAUAAAUGGUUUUGUUCUG